UACGUAGGGUGCGAGCGUUAUCCGGAUUUACUGGGCGUAAAGCGUGUGCAGGCGGUCAGCUGUGUCUGCUGUGAAAUCCCCGGGCUUAACCUGGGAAUGGCAUUUGGGACUGCAAGGCUGGAGUGUGGCAGAGGAGACUGGAAUUCCUGGUGUAGCGGUGAAAUGCGCAGAUAUCAGGAGGAACACCGGUGGCGAAGGCGGGUCUCUGGGCCGAUAUUGACGCUGAGGAGCGAAAGCGUGGGGAGCGAACAGG
rnacentral:rRNA from 1 species